rnacentral:misc_RNA from 1 species
CUUUGACCACGGAGGAUGCUAAGGGUCAGUUUCCUAUUAUCUGUUGUGUUUGCUUUGUAUUGUACUCUAUUGAUGGCACCUUAUGAUUUUAAUUUUCAGUUUUGAUAUAUCAUUUUCUUGAUUAUUUCUUGUACUGUAAUUAAGACUUCUGUAUUCACUCUCCUAAGUGUGUUUAUAUGUUUCUUGUCAUUGUUAGGUGCAGGUUCAGAUUAUAAUUACAUGGUUUUGUGUAUUUUUCUGUUCUUGAUUAUUUCAGUUUCUGUUCGCCUAAAAAUAAAGAAAACCCACUCUUCAUACAGCCCUUAAUUUACAAAUCCAUCACCUGCUAAUUGCUAUGGAAGUGACCAAUUAUAGGUCUAAUAAUUUUAUCCUUUGAUGAAAACUUUGUUCAAUAGUGGUGGAAGGUACAGAUGGGACUCUCUCUAUAGCAUCUGCAUUUGCUGGUCAUCAAGAAAGUAAUGCCAAUUUUGUUAAUUUUUUUUUCUAAAUAAGUACAAUUAAUUAGGUCUGUUUAUGGAUUUUAGUAGUUAUUGAACUAAUCUGUUUAGUGAUUGUUCAACCAGCUGUUCAGGACAGAGACCACAAA